UAAAACCUGUUUAGCCUUUAACAGAAGCUGAUGCACACAGAAGCCGUUAAGCAAAUACCUGUCACUUGAAUAGCAUUUAAUUACGAAGGAUUAGAGGUUCUCUAUGGAAACUUUUCUCAAGGAUUUGGCGAUAAAUUAGAAAAGAAAAAACAAGAAUAAUAAUUCUUAUAAUGUGAUUUUACUAUCUUGGAGUCUCAUCCCGUACAGCACAGAUUACUAAAUAUAAAGGGUUCUGUGCAAGUAUGUAGUGUUAUAUAUCUUUACAUUAUAAUAUAAAUAACUAUAUUUUUAAGCGGUCUACAUUAUGGGUAACACUAGAGUAAGUAACACAGAACCCGUCGUAUCAAGACGAUGGGCUAUCAGACUUUCUGGCGCCUGAUUCUUAACGUCCAGAGAUGAUUUUUAAUCAACUGUGCAUAUCUUUUGGUUAGACUGAAAGCCGACCCUAACAUAGUUGGGGUGGGAUCAGAAAGUUCUUUAGCGAACCUCAAGUCAAUAGAUACCGUUUUACCGUAGAUUUUUGUAACGGAAAAGUGUGUGUGAUUAAGACGCCAGAAGCUAGUCUGUAGUAUAUUCAACUCUAUUAUUUUUAUUAGUAUUACUUAACCUAUGUAUUCCGACGAGUAUGAAGUUAGUAUGUGACUGCGCGGGAAUACCAUUUUUUACUGCACAGCUAAUUAGCUCACUUCACGCUCCACGACCGGUAUAUAAUGUCAUGGAAUUAUUAAAAUGAACUAUUUUCCUCUCAGACAUUGAGACAGACACGUUUUCAUCAUGAAGUUAUUUUUAUUCGUAUUGUUUGUUGUGUCGUUGGUUUCAGUCACAGUGUGGUCGGCAAGUUUGCCAACAGUGAAACAAUUGAUAGACAAUAAUUCACACUCGAGGGUCAAAAGGCAAGCCUUUAUGAACCCGAGUUGUUUGUGCGCAAAAAAUCAUGUAUUCCUGAUACAGAAGUGCGUAACUUGUGAAGAAUAUAAAACUUCAACAGACUCAGACCAGUGCCCAUAUUGUCGAAAAUAGACCUCUUCUCAAAAUGGACACUGAAUUUUACUUAAAUGAACACGUAGGCAUGUAGGAAUCAACUUAAGUAGUAAAUGAAGAAUCAUAGUAGCUGAAAUUAUUUUUUUUUAUAUAAAAAAUAAACUAUCAUCAGAUUGACUGUAGAGUGUUCCUCACAAAUUAUGUUUUUGCACAGAGAAGAAGAAUAAAAAUAGAAAUAUUGUAUCGAAAUUAUUACCUUGGUUAGAUCUGUCAUUUUUACAAACAUAUACACACAACACACAUUGCACCUUGCAUCACCACGGACGAGGGUGUUGGUGAAGGAAUUCUGUGGCUGUGCUGUGUGUGUGUGUACCACCGAGAUGCACGUGUGUCAAAGGAAGCUAAACGGCGCUUUUACACUGGCGGAUUUUCUGCUCGAUAUAUUCUGCUGCCGCUUGGACAUUAGUUGAACCCUUGAAAAAUCGGCGAAUGUAAAACGGCUGUAGAACCGGGCGACAGAUUUUUGCCCUUGGACUGUGCUGGGCUAAAAAUCCACCAGAAUGAAAGCACUGAAAACUACUCGACGCUUGAGUGAGUUCGGCUGGUGUACCUACGUGCCAAAGGUGCAUAGGAGUUAAUGUUAAAAUGAGAUACGCAUUAGUAUUUAUUGAGACGGGUGCACGGGCCGUAUAUGAAUCAUAUAAUUUUAAAGUAAAUGAGGAAAAUUGUUAAUUAAUUCAUGAAAUAAAGUCGUAAACUUUACAAUUAAUGGUGUUUGUUUAUUAGUUGAAUGUUUUCCCUGUCUUAAAACCUAUCUAUAACAAUUAAGGAACUGAACAAGUAUUCAA